rnacentral:tRNA from 1 species
GGUCGUCGUGGUGGACGACGGCAGCGAGCCGCCGCUGCGGCUGCCGGAGAUCAGGCCGGAGCACACCCGGCUGGUACGGGCGCCCGGCGACGGCUG